rnacentral:lncRNA from 1 species
AUGAAGACAGGCGGCGGUGAAAUCUCUCCAGGAUACGGAGCGCAGAUAGCGGGCGGGCGAGCGGGGCCGCGCUGCUCCGGCGGAUCAGCGGAGAUGCAUAUAAUCCGGGAGUUGACCCAGAAAACAAACUCCUCCGACUGCCGAGACGCCGCAGAGUUUGAAUCCGCCGCAGGGGCUGCAUGUAGCCGGAGCAUCAGCUGGACGAACGACCCCGGCACUGAUCCAACUUCACCGCACGGACUCCACAUUCAUACAUCGGGGUAGGUGUCGUCUUCUGUUACUCCCUGAACAGGUAGAGAGGCAGCACUUUCCCCCCCUUUUGUACCCGCGGACUAUUUUAUCGUUUAUUCCACAGAAUUAACACGGGCUGAUCAGAUCUGGUAACAGGCUGUUAAAUCAGCCCCCGUUUCACCUUGUCACUCCGUUUCCUUGCAGCGCUAUUGCCUGUUGUAUUUGUUGCGGGUUCAUCGAAUAAUGUCAAGCAGCCCACAUGCACUGUCCUCGGCGAUGAAACAAAAAAAAAAAAAAAGAGGUUACAUGCUUGUGUAAUAAUGGCAGUAAUUAUUAUCCUCCCUCAGACUACCUAUUUACAAAGUGGCAUUUGGCUCAAUGAUAAUCCAGAUCUGCAAAGAAGCUCCACAGAUAGGGUGUAAUUAGGUAACACAGGAGCAGAAAUAUUCAAAGAAGGAUUUAGGCUAUUGAGGAAAGUGUCUUGUUUUAUCAGCUCUGAAAGGGUUGAAGUGCUACAAGCAGCCAUGGGCACGACUGGAGUUCAUUUUUAAGGGAUUAAAAGCUUGAAAUUUCCUUUUUUUUCAAAUGCAGGAGCAGUCAUUCAUGCUCGCUCUGGAUGUGUUUUUUAUGAUCAUCCCAUUUAGAGGAAGGUUAAGGAAUAAUGUCAUUCAUUUUAAUAACCCAUUUGAAUCAGAUCAAAUUUGCAAUUCCAGCAUCAACGGGAUCUGUUUGUCAUGUGUGGGUAAUGUUGAUUCAAGAUCUUUUGUAAUGACUGUGCGGACACAGUGGCAGUGUGUUGUGUGUUGAGAGGGGGGAAGAGGUGCGUGUGGUCUGGAGAGGCAUUCAUCUGCGUCCUUUUGGCUGUAAGGGUAUUGCUGCCCUCCCUCGUCGGUGUGAUAUCCAGUGGUAAUUCACUGAUGGUGUCAUUUUGGAGGUUUGAGCUUUUUUUUUUAUGGGGGCACUUCCAAUGUAUCUUGAAGUGUUCAAGUAAAGAAGAGGACCUAUGGAGGUGAGGGAGUGUAGUUUUAUUAGAAACAAGGCUUGUUGGCAUGAGAGUAAAGGAUUUUUGAUUUCAUAGUAUUCUUUUAAAGGUGAAGUCCAACAAUUUAUCAUUGCAGUCUUUAAAAGUGGUAAAAACUGACAGGAGACAGAUAAAAGCAAGAAAGGUACAAAUCGAAGCAGCAGACGCUAGGAUAAGCCUGACUUGAUAUAGGUCAAAAAUCAAAAAUACUGGAUCCCACAUUUCCCAUAAUGAAAACUAAAAGCGCUUUUUCCAUAAAACCUUCCCUGCCUGUGAAAUGCUCAUAACUUUGAACCCCAAAACUUCAAUUUGGAGCCAAAACCCAAUAAAAUCAUUGGAGUACAGCUGGGUGAUGUUUUUUUUUUUUGUUUUUUUUUAAUGAUCUGUAGGUUAUGUUUAUGCACGUUGCCUAAAAUGUCAAAAUCAUAAAAAUGUAAUCAUUAGGCCUUAAACAAAAAGGUUACGCUUUGGUAGGCGCAUCACAAUUCUCCAAAUCCACAAUUUGAUUUGACUUUAUAUUUAAAGGGGCUCUGUUAAACUCCUGUUUUGUGCCUGAAUGCCGUUGUUAGUUUAUGAUAGCUAACAAUGCUAUAAAAGCUAGACUCUAAUUCUAAACUAUCAUUAGCUACUGGGGCUCUCUGGUAGCGGAGCAGAGACAAGUACUGAGACGAGUCACUCAAGAACACGCAUAAAGUCAUUCUUUGGACUGUCACGGAAAAAACGUGACCUAAGCUGCAUACGUAAGCUGGGAUAGAGAGAAAAAAAAUACUGGGAGAUUCACCAGUUCUGCUUUUUCUUUCGAUGAUCAAACUCAGAGGUUCAUUUCAAUCAAAUUGUAAUUAAGAGUCGAAAUCGUGACAAUAGAUAAUAGCUGGCUACAUUAGCACUGUCGUACAUGGCUAGCUUGCCAUGGCUGUCUUGUGGCAAAUUUAACAGUUGCAUUUAUGAGAAGGACAGACUGAGAGUUUGAGGCUGUGUUGAUGGAACAGGAAUCUAUUUUGUUCAUUUUAUGUUGUACUUGUGG